rnacentral:tRNA from 1 species
GCCCGCUUGGUGGAAUGGUAGACACGGUAGCCUUAAAAGCUACUCUCCACGAGGUAUCGGUUCGAGUCCGGUAGCGGGCA